GACCGGGCGUGCGGCUAAUACAACACCAGCAAUGGGAAUAUGCCCGCCGACUACUUGCGGUUUUGAGCGCCCGGUCACCCUCUC
rnacentral:ncRNA from 22 species